AUGAACGCUGGCGGCGUGCCUAAUACAUGCAAGUCGAGCGAACGGACGAGAAGCUUGCUUCUCUGAUGUUAGCGGCGGACGGGUGAGUAACACGUGGAUAACCUACCUAUAAGACUGGGAUAACUUCGGGAAACCGGAGCUAAUACCGGAUAAUAUUUUGAACCGCAUGGUUCAAAAGUGAAAGACGGUCUUGCUGUCACUUAUAGAUGGAUCCGCGCUGCAUUAGCUAGUUGGUAAGGUAACGGCUUACCAAGGCAACGAUGCAUAGCCGACCUGAGAGGGUGAUCGGCCACACUGGAACUGAGACACGGUCCAGACUCCUACGGGAGGCAGCAGCAGGGAAUCUUCCGCAAUGGGCGAAAGCCUGACGGAGCAACGCCGCGUGAGUGAUGAAGGUCUUCGGAUCGUAAAACUCUGUUAUUAGGGAAGAACAUAUGUGUAAGUAACUGUGCACAUCUUGACGGUACCUAAUCAGAAAGCCACGGCUAACUACGUG
rnacentral:rRNA from 1 species